AUACGUAGGUGGCAAGCGUUGUCCGGAAUUAUUGGGCGUAAAGCGCGCGCAGGUGGUUUCUUAAGUCUGAUGUGAAAGCCCACGGCUCAACCGUGGAGGGUCAUUGGAAACUGGGAGACUUGAGUGCAGAAGAGGAUAGUGGAAUUCCAAGUGUAGCGGUGAAAUGCGUAGAGAUUUGGAGGAACACCAGUGGCGAAGGCGACUAUCUGGUCUGUAACUGACACUGAGGCGCGAAAGCGUGGGGAGCAAACAGGAUUAGAUACCCUGGUAGUCCACGCCGUAAACGAUGAGUGCUAAGUGUUAGGGGGUUUCCGCCCCUUAGUGCUGCAGCUAACGCAUUAAGCACUCCGCCUGGGGAGUACGGUCGCAAGACUGAAACUCAAAGGAAUUGGCGGGG
rnacentral:rRNA from 1 species